UAAUCAACCUUGUCGUGAUUAAAAAUUAAUUGGAAUGAAAUUUAGAAUGGGAAUUAUGCUUCUAUUAAGAAUGCGCACCCAAUAAAAAAUAUUAAACUAUACUAGAAAUAGUAAUUUAGUUCAAUUCCUAAAGCCUGACUAAAUGGGUGCCAGCAGUCGCGGUCAUACCCUUGGGCUAAUUUAAUCUUAUUAGAUUGGUUUGUUUUAAACAAGUACAAUAAACUAGUGAAAUAGUUAUUGAAGGAAACAUCUAUGCUAAAACCAUUUUACCUAAACUCUGAAGAUAAACUAGGAUUAGAUACCCUACUAUAUAGAGCGCAAAUUAGAAAUCUAAGCACUAAGACUUUUCAGUUAAAACUUAAACGACAUGGCGGCAGCCUCAAAUUUCAGGGGAACUUACCAGAUAAUUGAUAAUCCCCAAAUAAUUCUAUUUUUCUUUAAAGCUUGUAUAUCGCCGACGUCAGAAUCCACUUGAGGUGUAUUCGAAAUGUUUAAGAACAAAAAGCCAGGCCAUGAUGCAGCCCAUAGAAUAACCUUAAGGUGAGUUACAUUAACAAAUAGUUAUUUUUCAGCCGAAAUCAAAUAUUUCAGCACCUAGAAAACUGGACUUGAAAGUAAAUAAUAUUAAAAAUACUUCUUGAAUAUUAAUUUGGCUGUGCACAAAUCGCCCGUCACUCUCGUUGUGAAAAAUGAGAUAAGUCGUAACACAGUAAGGGUACUGGAAAGUGCCCUUGUCUUUGU
rnacentral:ncRNA from 1 species